CCCCUAGAUGUUCUGGGCCGCACGCGCGCUACACUGAACAGUUCAACAAGUCUUAACCUUGGCCGAUAGGUCUGGGUAAUCUUUGAACGCUGUUCGUGAUUGGGAUAGACCUUUGCAAUUAUGGGUCUUCAACGAGGAAUUCCUAGUAAACGCAAGUCAUCAGCUUGCAUUGAUUACGUCCCUGCCCUUUGUACACACCGCCCGUCGCACCUACCGAUUGAAUGGUCCGGUGAAAUCCUCGGAUCGAGCUGCGGGGCAACCCCGGUUCGAGAAGUUGAUUAAACCUUACCAUUUAGAGGAAGGUGAAGUCGUAACA
rnacentral:rRNA from 1 species